GACGGGGUGGCCGAGUGGUUAAGGCGAUGGAUUGCUAAUUCAUUGGGGUUUCCCCGCAUGGGUUCGAAUCCCAUCCCUGUCG
rnacentral:tRNA from 1 species